rnacentral:rRNA from 1 species
UACGGGGGGGGCAAGCGUUGUUCGGAAUUACUGGGCGUAAAGGGCUCGUAGGCGGCCAACUAAGUCAGACGUGAAAUCCCCAGGCUCAACCUGGGAACUGCGUCUGAUACUGGAUGGCUUGAAUCCGGGAGAGGGAUGCAGAAUUCCAGGUGUAGCGGUGAAAUGCGUAGAUAUCUGGAGGAACACCGGUGGCGAAGGCGACCAUCUGGACGACAACUGACGCUGAGGCGCGAAAGCGUGGGGAGCAAACAGG